GCGUGGAUGGUUUAGUGGUAUAAUUGCCGCCUGCCACGCGGCAGACCCGUGUUCGAUUCCCGGUCCACGCA
rnacentral:tRNA from 1 species